CAUAAGCCCACCGUGGCUCUUCCGCGAUUUAGAUGCAGCCCACCGACUCUGCUCCCCCACCACGGUGGGCUCCAGUCUGAGGCUAAAUCUACCCAAGACACUGGCUGUCAGACUGAUUUAGCUGCAAGAAUGCACUUGUCUAGGCUGAUGUGAAACCUUCCCUGUAGCAAAGCCAGCCAGAAUGGAGUUCACAGCCGCAGUGUGUCUGGUGACCCACGGGGACCAUGAUGAAAAUUCAUCUUCCAGAAGGUCCCAGAGCAGCGACCACACCCCCUGAAAAGACCAAGGUGUGAGGUGUCUGCUGUUGAUUCCAGCUUCCACCUCAGUGACAGUGCAAGCUCAGUGAACUGUUCAAGGUAAAAAAAAAUUAAAACAUUUCAGAAUUUUUAAGAUAUUAACAAUUAAAUAAGUAUGUGAUUACAUCAUGACGGAGGCUACUGAUUCUGCCCCUGUGACACUUGGUGGUGACGUGUGAGCUGAUUCACCUGGAAAACAACUUUUACAUUAAAUAUUUUGUUUUUGCUAUCAAAAGUAAAUUAACUAAUAACCUGCAUUAUGGCAGGACACUCAGCAAAAUAUGGACUCUACACCAUGAGGCAGGCACACGUUAAUAACUCUAUAAGAGCACAUAAGGUGAGCAACACCACAUAUUGUACACUGUCCUGAAUUUGUUUUCUUUCUGCAUCUCAUUAGCCUGGCUGAUCACCUGAUAACUCCUGUCAUCUGGUUAUGACAGCAUGAGGAUGUCCUCACACACCUGUAACCUAUCAGCUCAUCUGGCAGAAUAGAGAGAGAAGAGACAACACCACAUCUCCUGUUCCUGGAAAGCUUUCAGCCAUCCUUCGAUGACUGAGAACCUCCAUCAGCUCUGUCUCCUGUCUGCCUACAAUUAUUAUAAUAAAUAUUGUGUUUGACAAGUUUUUUUGUGCUGCCAAAUAUCUCAUAUAGAUUCCAGUUUUGAUAUUUUAAUGGAUAUUUAUAAAUUACAUUAAUUGAAUUAUCACAAUGCAUGUUUAACUUGCUCUAUUGUGAUGAAUUAAACUAGCACCUCACUGUUAAAAGCUCGUUUUAAUUUCAAGCAU